AUGGGAGCGAUAACCUCGGCGGAGCUCAACUUCCUCGUCUUCCGCUACCUACAGGAGUCCGGUUUUGUUCAUGCCGCAUUUACUUUAGGGUAUGAAGCAGGGAUACAUAAAGGUGGGAUAGAUGGAAAUGUUGUCCCUCCUGGCGCUCUUAUCACUAUCGUGCAGAAAGGCCUCCAGUACAUAGAAUUAGAAGCAAAUACUGAUGAAAAUGAUCAAGAAGUUGAGAAGGAUUUUGCUCUUCUGGAACCUCUUGAAAUCAUCACAAAAGAUGUUGAAGAGUUGCAACAGAUUGUGAAGAAGAGAAAAAGGGAGAGGCUUCAAAUUGAUUCUGACAAGGACAAGGGGAAAGCGAAAGAGUGCAUCGAGGAGCAUGAACAUCGUCUUGGUGGUGAACGGGAGAGAGAGCGCCAUGACAAAGAAAAAGACCAAGAGAUGGAAAAAGAUAGAACUGAAAGAGACAAGGUGCAAGAGAAAGAGAAGGAAAGGGAAAAACAACACACAGAGCAUAUUGAUAAGGUUAAGCACGAAGAGGAUCCCCUUGCCAGUGGAGUUACCUCAGGUCCUAAACCAAUGGAUGUAAGUACAACUCAUGAAAUUUUUAGUGCGGAUGUAACCGUUUUGGAAGGACACAGUUCAGAGGUUUUUGCUUGUGCAUGGAGUCCAGCUGGUUCUCUUCUAGCUUCUGGGUCAGGAGACUCGACUGCUAGAAUUUGGACAAUUGCUGAUGGUCCAUGUGGUUCCAUUCAAUCCUCUCCUGCAAGUGUUCAUGUUUUGAAACAUUUUAAGGGUAGGACCAACGAGAAGAGCAAGGAUGUCACCACACUUGACUGGAAUGGGGAAGGAACACUAUUGGCCACGGGCUCCUAUGAUGGCCAGGCAAGAAUAUGGAGUAGGGACGGAGAGUUAAAGCAAACUUUAUUCAAACACAAGGGACCUAUAUUUUCUUUGAAAUGGAAUAGGAAAGGUGAUUUUCUUCUAAGUGGCAGCGUAGACAAAACUGCUAUUGUCUGGGAUACAAAGACAUGGGAGUGCAAGCAGCAAUUUGAAUUUCAUUCAGCUCCAACACUAGAUGUUGAUUGGCGAAACAACAACUCUUUUGCAACAUGCUCAACUGAUAACAUGAUCUAUGUUUGCAAGAUUGGGGAUCCACGCCCAGUUAAAACAUUCAGUGGCCAUCAAAGUGAAGUUAAUGCUAUCAAGUGGGAUCCAACUGGUUCUUUGUUGGCUUCUUGUUCUGAUGAUUGGACUGCAAAGAUAUGGAGUGUGAAGCAGGACAAAUGUGUAUAUGAUUUUAAAGAGCAUACCAAGGAAAUAUACACUAUUAGAUGGAGCCCCACAGGUCCAGGAACAAAUAAUCCCAAUCAACAGCUGCUUUUGGCAAGCGCAUCGUUUGAUUCAUCUAUCAAGCUAUGGGAAGUUGAGCAAGGACACCUUCUGUACAGCUUGGCUGGCCAUAGGCAGCCAGUUUAUUCUGUGGCCUUUAGCCCUGAUGGCGAGUACCUGGCUAGUGGGUCGCUGGAUCAAAGCCUACAUAUAUGGUCCGUCAAAGAAGGCAGGAUCCUGAAGACCUUCAGAGGGAGCGGUGGCAUUUUCGAAGUGUGCUGGAACAAAGAAGGCAGCAAGAUAGCAGCUUGCUUCUCCAACAAUACUGUCUGCGUCAUGGAUUUCAGGAUGUAG
rnacentral:rRNA from 1 species